rnacentral:misc_RNA from 1 species
GAUGAAGAACGUAGCAAAAUGCGAUAAGUAAUGUGAAUUGCAGAAUUCAGUGAAUCAUCGAAUCUUUGAAUGCACAUUGCGCCCGCCAGUAUUCUGGCGGGCAUGCCUGUUCGAGCGUCAUUUCAACCCUCAAGCACAGCUUGGUGUUGGGACUCGCGUUAAUUCGCGUUCCUCAAAUUGAUUGGCGGUCACGUCGAGCUUCCAUAGCGUAGUAGUAAAACCCUCGUUACUGGUAAUCGUCGCGGCCACGCCGUUAAACCCCAACUUCUGAAUGUUGACCUCGGAUCAGGUAGGAAUACCCGCUGAACUUAAGCAUAUCAAUAAGCGGAGGA